rnacentral:lncRNA from 10 species
AUCAAGCCUGGGCAAUGGCGGGCGCCCCUCCCCCAGCCUGGCUGCCGCCUUGCAGUUUGAUCUCAGACUGCUGUGCUAGCAAUCAGGGAGACUCCGUGGGCGUAGGACCCUCCGAGCCAGGUGUUACCGUGAGAAAAUAUCUUGAACUUCUACUCUGUUUCUGGAGGCCAGAAGUAUGCAGUCAAGAUACACAGCAGGACCAUGCUGUCUCUGGAGGAUCUGGGAGACUGUGUUCUAUGCCUUUCUCUUAGCCUCUGGUGUUGCUGGCAAGCCUUGACAUUCCUGAACUUGUCAAUACAUCACUCUAAUCUCUGACUCCAUUGUCACAAGAUGUCCUCCCCUGUGUGUGUGUCUUUUGCUGUGCCUUACUAGAGCAUGUUGAUCCCCAUCUGUUUCCUUGCUCUGCUAAGCAAUAAAACUUGAAAAUGAAAAUUAAAAAAGACAUCAGUCCUAUCGGAUUAAGGGCCCAUGCUACUCCAAUAUGACCUCAUCUUAACUAAUUUCAUCUGUUGCGACCAUUUUCCAAAUCAGCUCACAUUCUGAGAUUCUGAGAAGGAUGUGAAUUUUGGGGGGAAACUACACCCUCUAGUACAGCUCCCUUUGCCACAUUUCUUCUUUCCGUAUCUAUCUUGUCAUGUUCUUGCCUGUUGGCCUACAUCAGGUGACUCAGCUGCAUAGGUUUAUUUGGCUGGUCUUAUUUUCUUUACUCUUCCAGUUUGAUGAGAUACACUGGGAUACUGGCCUCUCCAAACUCCUAAUAAUCAAUUUCCUUGCUACAGGUUUUUUUCCCCCUUCUUCAAGGUACUUCUUUUCAUUGAUUCCUCUGAAAUCCUCCUACUCCAGCCCUGCAUUCCUGUGGAUCUCCUCCUGACCUUACAAAAAGAUGUUUUGCCUUCCUAGGCCACCCCAAAUAGACAGGUCCUGGUCCUACCACCUUACUAACUUAUUUAUAGAGGGUUGGGCAAUGCAGCCAUAAAUUGAAAAUAUCUUAUAUUCAAUUUAUUUCUGAUUCCCUGUAAUUCCUGCUGCUCUAUGGUUUCACAUUUAUUGAAGUCGAGCAUCCCUUCAGGGAGAGGGCAAAAGCCAAGGGAAGAAAAAAUGUGUCAGAGCAGAUAUUUGAGAGAAAAAGGUUUUUUAGGGGAACUCCCAGACUUAAGCUUUAAAUUAUUAAAUUCUAGCUCAGAGGAUUCAGACCAUGGCAGUCUUUUGUAAACCAGAGAGUAGGGAGAAUGCAAGGUUGAAAUGAGGUCCAUUUUUCCCUAUACAAGGAAGGUAAAAACUGCCCUGGUGGGAGGCUUGGGGGACAGUGGAGGAACAGAGAGAGAGAGAAAGAGAGACAAAAGAGACAGCCAAGUUGGAAGAUAGGUAUAUGCAUGCUCCUUACACUUUAAACAUUCUGUGGUAUAGAAAGUCUUUUUGCAAACCUUGCCUUAACUCUGAUGAAAAUGCCUCACAGAGUAUAAAUUAGAAAAUAUACAAAGGAGUAGAAAUGUCAACAUGGUAUAUCCAGGUACAGAGAAUGAAAAGUGGAGCCAUUUGGUUUCCCAAUGUGAGUGAUAUGCAAGAGUUCCAGAAUUUCUUGAUGGCCUCAGAGGAGAAUGGGAAAUGCUUCCAUGGCUGGAGAGCUGGGAAAAGCCUGAUGUUUGGAAGAGGAGGGAGCUAAGUCCUUUUUACUCAAAGCCAGUGGGCAAAGAUGUGAGCUGUGGGUAUAGCAGGGUAAGUGGCAGACACUCACAGAUCAAGUGGAGGCCAGAAAUAUUGGACAAAAAAGGACAUCCUUCCUCAUUGUCAGGACAAGGGGAGAGGACAAGGAGAAGACUGUGUGAGAGUAACCCAGAAAAACUGGGUAAUUACAUAAAGAAGACUAAGUUGUAAACCCAGAAGAUAUUGUGUUUCUCUGACGUCCAAACAUUAGCUGAUAUGAGUAGCUCAUUAGCAGAUUGAGUUUAAUUAUGGAGGAUGUUAGAAGUUACAUUUCUAUAAAUAUCUGUUGUGAUGGCAAAUUUCAAGCCUAUCAUCUGGUUAAGACGCAAAUAUUCUUUUAUUUCCUAGUACAUGCACAUCUGUAAAUUGCUCCAAAUACAGAAUCUUGGAACACAUUUUUCAACUCUCUUCUAGUCCUUUAUAUCUUAUCUGCGGGUUAAUCAGAUCAUCUCUUUGUCAGAAACAAUAGAUGUUUUAAUAUUUACAUCACAAAAUUUCUAAUCUAACUUUGAUGUUGAUCUUUAAUCUGGUCUAUUGGCAAUCUAAACGUGUGUGCAUUGCUUCAUACUGACAUGCUUUUAAAAGAUAGUAAACCAAGCAUAGUGAUAAACAGGAACUUCUUCACAUUAAUAUUUAAGCUGUCGAGUUCUCCAAGGCUACAUCCAGGGAUGUGGCACUUUCAAAAAUAAUCUUGAAGCAGAAUUGCACUCUCAAAUUUUCAAGUUUCCAGAAGAUAUUAAGUGAUGCCUAAGUACUGAACUGCCAAACCAUUACAGCUAAACCAUGGAAAGACUUCAGAAUUCGAUGUGACUGGACAGAAAUGGGGCAGAUGAAGUUUGAAUGAAAGAAAGUAAAGUAACGCUUUUAGAGAAAAACAUGUCAUCGUACUUAUAAAACUAAAGGUUCUAAGCUGUCAGUUCAUCCCCAAAUGGAAAUUAUCCAAGUUAUUACCCCUAUAUAUUAAUACCCUUUAACUAAAAAUAUUAUCAAUAAAAAUAUUAAGAAUAAUAUAUUACUUGACCACUAUGUGCUAGGUGAUGAGUAUAUCUUACAUGUAUUAUUUUAUUUAAAAUUCUAGUAUUCUUUUGCUCUUUUCCUUUUACGGGAUAAGGGGAAUGUCAAGGUCAUACUGACAUCAACGAUCCAGCCUAGGGCAGUCUGAUGUCAAAGCUCAGACGUUUACCUACUAUGUCACACUGCCCUGCACUGAACAUCUUCUACUCUGGAACAAAUCAGCCUUGUGUCUGUUCCUGAAAUAGUGUCAGAAUUAUAAUAAGAGUUCAAGGUAGACAUGCCAGAAUAAGAAUAAAUCUAGGGCAGGGCUACUAAAAUUACCCAGGAUAUGGUAUCUAAGGGUAGCCUUUUAAAAAAUAAUUAUAGGUUCAAGAUACAAAUUGUAUAGAAAUCAUGAGUGGUACACAAAAUCCUGAAAGUUGAAAUUAGGGACUAGCGUGUCUGGCUUGAAAAAGGGAUGGCAUUUACCAAACAAGUAAAAACUCUCAGAAAUGUGCUGCUACUUUUAAGCUGAAGAUAGAAUAUCUAGAAUACCAAGAUCCUUGCCUCAUGCUUUCUGCCUCUCCUUCUUUUCUCAGCUAGAUACUCUUCACUGGCAGCCACAAUAUAUCUGAGACCUCAGCCCCAUCAUCUGGUUACAAAUUACCUUGGCAUCCUCUCAAACAGUAUCCAAAUAUACAGCCUUUCCUGGGUACCUCCUUUUCUAUUUGCACCCCCAAUCUGCUGUUUCCAGGGAUUGUUCUUUGGGUAUUUUGUUGCUUCCUCAAGUUGAAUAUCUCUCCUGGACCUCUCUCAGUCCAUACAGUGGGGAUCUGGGACUUGACCUGCCUCCUUAUUUCUAAUAUUAGAAUUAACCAUUCUUAUUCCUCUCUUUGUUCUCACUAAAGCCCUCUUGAGAGAUAAUUCUGUUUCCCUAAAUGAAAUUUUCUCGUACCUAACAGCAGUGUCUGCAUCCCACUGCUUAGGAGCAACUGCCCCCUAUCUGCCUCCUGGAAAUAACCAGCACCUGGAAUCUCCAGUGCUAUUCUGUGCCUCAUGGCUUUCACUAUCAUCUGAAACAGCCAGUUCUAUGUGAUGCUUCUUAGACUUCUAAAAUUAAGUCUUGCAUGCUGGAAACUAUUACUAAGUAGAAAGAAAGAAAUGGGUGAACAGGGAUUUGGCUAGAAAUAAUUUACCAUAAUCACUGAUAAUUUUCACAUUCUUGUUUGGCAAUAGUGUGAAUAGGAGUUUGUGUGACUUAAGGGGCCAGCAGGGAAAAUGGAAGUUGAUGUAAACAACAAACAGGACCUGAGAUUUGUGUUUUGGGAUGAGGCUAAAUUGGAAAGAAAGACAGAUUUGUCCCCAGUGUUCUGAAUUUGCCUUACUCAGCUGUAUCUCUGGAGAUACCAGUUUUUCUCACCUCUGUCCCACUACCUUGGUUGAAUCUUGUGCCAACCUGUGACUCUUUCCAUGAGAACGUCUCCCCCAUGCUAUGGAGGUUGGAACAUCAAGCUCAUACUGGAGAAUGGAGACAGAAAUUUUAAAUAAAACUAUAGUCAAUAAAAUGAUAACAGGUUAUGUGGAAUUUUUUAUGCUCUAUGCAACACCCAUAUUCACUGUGAAAAAUCCAAGAAACUUGUGAUCUCUGAAAUUAUUUACACUGUUCCUGAAGAAAACUGCUCUA